rnacentral:rRNA from 1 species
ACGGAGGGUGCAAGCGUUGUUCGGAAUCAUUGGGCGUAAAGCGCGUGUAGGCGGCCAAAUAAGUCUGAUGUGAAAGCCCGGGGCUCAACCCCGGAAGUGCAUUGGAUACUGUUUGGCUAGAGGGCGAGAGAGGGAAGCGGAAUUCCUGGUGUAGGGGUGAAAUCCGUAGAUAUCAGGAGGAACAUCUGUGGCGAAGGCGGCUUCCUGGCUCGUUUCUGACGCUGAGACGCGAAAGCGUGGGGAGCAAACAGG